rnacentral:tRNA from 1 species
GAGGGUAUAGCUCAUUGACAAAGUACAUGCUUGGCAUGCAUAAGGUCCUGGGUUCAAUCCCCAGGGCCUCCA